GACGAACGCUGGCGGCGUGCCUAAUACAUGCAAGUCGAACGAGAGCGGCCGGUGCUUGCACUGGUCAAUCUAGUGGCGAACGGGUGAGUAACACGUGGGUAACCUGCCCAUCAGAGGGGGAUAACAUCCGGAAACGGAUGCUAAAACCGCAUAGGUCUUCGAACCGCAUGGUUUGAAGAGGAAAAGAGGCGCAAGCUUCUGCUGAUGGAUGGACCCGCGGUGCAUUAGCUAGUUGGUGAGGUAACGGCUCACCAAGGCCGUGAUGCAUAGCCGACCUGAGGGGGUGAUCGGCCACAUUGGGACUGAGACACGGCCCAAACUCCUACGGGAGGCAGCAGUAGGGAAUCUUCCGCAAUGGACGCAAGUCUGACGGAGCAACGCCGCGUGAGUGAAGAAGGUUUUCGGAUCGUAAAACUCUGUUGUUAGAGAAGAACAAGUGCUAGAGUAACUGUUAGCGCCUUGACGGUAUCUAACCAGAAAGCCACGGCUAACUACGUG
rnacentral:rRNA from 1 species